rnacentral:rRNA from 1 species
UACGUAGGGUGCAAGCGUUAAUCGGAAUUACUGGGCGUAAAGCGUGCGCAGGCGGUUUUGUAAGUUUGUCGUGAAAUCCCCCGGGCUCAACCUGGGAAUGGCGAUGAAGACUGCAAGGCUAGAAUCUGGCAGAGGGGGGGGUAGAAUUCCGCGUGUAGCAGUGAAAUGCGUAGAGAUGUGGAGGAACACCGAUGGCGAAGGCAGCCCCCUGGGUCAAGAUUGACGCUCAUGCACGAAAGCGUGGGGAGCAAACAGGAUUAG